CCUACGGGAUGCAGCAGUGGGGGAUAUUGCACAAUGGGGGGAACCCUGAUGCAGCGACGCCGCGUGAGCGAUGGAGUACUUCGGUAUGUAAAGCUCUGUCAGCAGGGAAGAAAAUGACGGUACCUGACCAAGAAGCCCCGGCUAAAUACGUGCCAGCAGCCGCGGUAAUACGUAUGGGGCAAGCGUUAUCCGGAUUUAUUGGGUUGAAAGGGUUCGUAGGCGGAGUGUCAAGUCAGCGGUAAAAUUUCGGGGUUCAACCCCGUCGUGCCGUUGAAACUGACGCCCUGGAGUGAGUGAGAAGUAAGCGGAAUGCGUGGUGUAGCGGUGAAAUGCAUAGAUAUCACGCAGAACGCCGAUUGCGAAGGCAGCUUACCGGCGCUCAACUGACGCUGAGGCACGAAAGUGCGGGUAUCGAACAGGAUUAGAUACCCUGGUAGUC
rnacentral:rRNA from 1 species